AACGAACGCUGGCGGCAUGCCUAACACAUGCAAGUCGAACGAGACCUUCGGGUCUAGUGGCGCACGGGUGCGUAACGCGUGGGAACCUGCCCUUAGGUUCGGAAUAACUCCCCGAAAGGGGUGCUAAUACCGGAUAGUGUCUUCGGACCAAAGAUUUAUCGCCUUUGGAUGGGCCCGCGUUGGAUUAGCUAGUUGGUAGGGUAAAAGCCUACCAAGGCGACGAUCCAUAGCUGGUCUGAGAGGAUGAUCAGCCACACUGGGACUGAGACACGGCCCAGACUCCUACGGGAGGCAGCAGUGGGGAAUAUUGGACAAUGGGCGAAAGCCUGAUCCAGCAAUGCCGCGUGAGUGAUGAAGGCCUUAGGGUUGUAAAGCUCUUUUACCCGGGAUGAUAAUGACAGUACCGGGAGAAUAAGCUCCGGCCAACUCCGUG
rnacentral:rRNA from 1 species